rnacentral:rRNA from 1 species
CGGCGAGUGAAGCGGCAACAGCUCAAAUUUGAAAUCUGGCUCUCGGGUCCGAGUUGUAAUUUGUAGAGGAUGCUUUUGGUGAGGUGCCUUCCGAGUUCCCUGGAACGGGACGCCAUAGAGGGUGAGAGCCCCGUCUGGUUGGACACCAAACCUCUGUAAAGCUCCUUCGACGAGUCGAGUAGUUUGGGAAUGCUGCUCUAAAUGGGAGGUAUAUGUCUUCUAAAGCUAAAUAUUGGCCAGAGACCGAUAGCGCACAAGUAGAGUGAUCGAAAGAUGAAAAGCACUUUGAAAAGAGGGUUAAAUAGUACGUGAAAUUGUUGAAAGGGAAGCGCUUAUGACCAGACUUGAGCCCGGUUAAUCAUCCAGCCUUCUGGCUGGUGCACUUGGCCGGCUCAGGCCAGCAUCAGUUCGGCGUGGGGGAUAAAGGCUUCGGGAAUGUGGCUCCUUCGGGAGUGUUAUAGCCCGUUGUGUAAUACCCUGUACUGGACUGAGGUUCGCGCAUCUGCAAGGAUGCUGGCGUAAUGGUCAUCAGCGACCCGUCUUGAAACACGGACCAAGGAGUCGUCUUCGUAUGCGAGUGUUCGGGUGUCAAACCCCUACGCGUAAUGAAAGUGAACGCAGGUGAGAGCUUCGGCGCAUCAUCGACCGAUCCUGAUGUUCUCGGACGGAUUUGAGUAAGAGCAUACGGAGCCGGACCCGAAAGAAGGUGAACUAUGCCUGUAUAGGGUGAAGCCAGAGGAAACUCUGGUGGAGGCUCGCAGCGGUUCUGACGUGCAAAUCGAUCGUCAAAUAU